rnacentral:sRNA from 1 species
GCACUGGCAAAAUCCAGUGCCGGGAUUGGUCUCCCGGAUUACUACAGAGGCGCAUUACCGCGCGAGCGGUUUUUUU